rnacentral:rRNA from 1 species
CCUAGGGGUAGCAGCAGUGGGGAAUAUUGGACAAUGGGCGAAAGCCUGAUCCAGCCAUGCCGCGUGUGUGAAGAAGGCCUUCGGGUUGUAAAGCACUUUCAGUGGGGAAGAAAGCCUUGGGGCUAAUACCCUCGAGGAAGGACAUCACCCACAGAAGAAGCACCGGCUAACUCCGUGCCAGCAGCCGCGGUAAUACGGAGGGUGCGAGCGUUAAUCGGAAUUACUGGGCGUAAAGCGCGCGUAGGCGGUCUGAUAAGCCGGUUGUGAAAGCCCCGGGCUCAACCUGGGAACGGCAUCCGGAACUGUCAGGCUAGAGUGCAGGAGAGGAAGGUAGAAUUCCCGGUGUAGCGGUGAAAUGCGUAGAGAUCGGGAGGAAUACCAGUGGCGAAGGCGGCCUUCUGGACUGACACUGACGCUGAGGUGCGAAAGCGUGGGUAGCAAACAGGAUUAGAUACCCUAGUAGU